CGGAUUGCUAGAGUGACCGGCGCCAGCGAAGGGAACCCGGUGCGAGUCCGGGACUGACGCGCAGCGGUGUGGGUGACGGGCGGAGCACGAUGUCACUGGAUCUCCUCGGAGAUCUGGGAAGACGUUCCGAACCGGGAGAUCCCGAGUCCGAAGACCUGCUGGCCCUUGCGACCGAAC
rfam:Pimelobacter simplex strain VKM Ac-2033D, complete genome.